UCUUUGAUCAUCCUGGAGCUGAUCAAUGGCUGAGACUUUGCCAUUCUGGCUGUUCUUUGAUCCAUUUGAAUGGUGGUUUUGAGUUUUCUUCCACGUUUUUCAGGUUGUGUUGGGAUUUUAAAGCAUUUGAAAUCAUUUUAGAUGAGAAGACUAUCAAA